UACGGAGGGUGCGAGCGUUGUCCGGAAUCAUUGGGCGUAAAGGGCGCGUAGGUGGCCCGGUCAGCGUGCGGUGAAAGCUCGGGGCUCAACCCCGAGUCGGCCGUGCGAACUGCUGGGCUGGAGCACUGUAGAGGCAGGCGGAAUUCCGGGUGUAGCGGUGGAAUGCGUAGAGAUCCGGAAGAACACUGGUGGCGAAGGCGGCCUGCUGGGCAGUGGCUGACACUGAGGCGCGACAGCGUGGGGAGCAAACAGG
rnacentral:rRNA from 1 species